UAUUCCCUGUGCUGUACAUUACACCCACAUGACUGAUUUAUAACUGGGAGUUUAUACCUCUUACUACCCUUCACAUUUUCCUUUCCUCCCC